AACCUCCGCAAUGUGAGAAAUCGCGACGGGGGGAUCCCAAGUGCCAUUCUUAACGGGAUGGCUUUUCUUAAGUGUAAAAAGCUUUUGGAAUAAGAGCUGGGCAAGACCGGUGCCAGCCGCCGCGGUAACACCGGCAGCUCUAGUGGUAGCUGUUUUAUUGGGCCUAAAGCGUUCGUAGCCGGUUUGAUAAGUCACUGGUGAAAUCCUGUAGCUUAACUGUGGGAAUUGCUGGUGAUACUGUUGAACUUGAGGUCGGGAGAGGUUAGCGGUACUCCCAGGGUAGAGGUGAAAUUCUGUAAUCCUGGGAGGACCACCUGUGGCGAAGGCGGCUAACUGGAACGAACCUGACGGUGAGGGGCGAAAGCUAGGGGCGCGAACCGGAUUAGAUACCCGGGUAGUCCUAGCCGUAAACGAUGCGGACUUGGUGUUGGGAUGGCUUUGAGCCGCUCCGGUGCCGAAGGGAGCUGUUAAGUCCGCCGCCUGGGAAGUACGGUCGCAAGACUGAACUUAAGGAAUU
rnacentral:rRNA from 1 species